UACGGGGGGGGCAAGCGUUGUUCGGAAUUACUGGGCGUAAAGGGUUCGUAGGCGGCCAAAUAAGUCGGUUGUGAAAUCCCCAGGCUUAACCUGGGAACUGCAUCCGAUACUGGAUGGCUUGAAUCCGGGAGAGGGAUGCAGAAUUCCAGGUGUAGCGGUGAAAUGCGUAGAUAUCUGGAGGAAUACCGGUGGCGAAGGCGGCAUCCUGGACCGGCAUUGACGCUGAUGAGCGAAAGCUAGGGGAGCAAACGGG
rnacentral:rRNA from 1 species